UGCCCCAUGGCUGAGUUGGUUACAGCGUCCGACUGUUAUUGACGUAGUAAUCGGAAGGUCGUGAGUUCGAGCCUCACUGGGGCAG
rnacentral:tRNA from 1 species